AUUGAACGCUAGCGGCAGGCUUUACACAUGCAAGUCGAACGAGUGGCGGACGGGUGAGUAAUAUAUGGGAACGUGCCUAGUAGCGGGGGAUAACUACUGGAAAGGGUAGCUAAUACCGCAUACCAUCAGAUGAGCCCAUAUGGGAUUAGCUAGUUGGUGGGGUAACGGCUCACCAAGGCGACGAUCCCUAGCUGGUCUGAGAGGAUGAACAGCCACACUGGGACUGAGACACGGCCCAGACUCCGACGGGAGGCAGCAGUGGGGAAUAUUGGACAAUGGGGGCAACCCUGAUCCAGCCAUGCCGCGUGUAUGAAGAAGGCCUUCGGGUUGUAAAGUACUUUUGGCAGGGAAGCGUUACCUGCAGAAGAAGCACCGGCUAACUACGUGCCAGCAGCCGCGGUAAUAC
rnacentral:rRNA from 1 species